AAGUCGUAACAAGGUUUCCGUAGGUGAACCUGCGGAAGGAUCAUUAAGAUGCGGCGCCUCAUUCAUGGCGUCGACUCACUUAUCCACACCCACUCUGAGUUCCUUGCCUGUUGCUUCCGUGAGGGGUCCCUCCCUCGCGAGUAAGAAGCACCUUGAAACGCGGAAUACCAAUGUCUUCAGUCUGACUAUGUAUGUAACAAUUGUUAAAACUUUCAGCAACGGAUCUCUUGGUUCUCGCAUCGAUGAAGAACGCAGCGAAAUGCGAUAAGUAGUGUGAAUUGCAGAAUUCAGUGAAUCAUCGAAUCUUUGAACGCACAUUGCGCCUCCUGGCAUUCCGGGAGGCAUGCCUGUUCGAGCGUCAGCACCGCAACCCUCUCAAGCGACACCUUUGCUUGGUCCUGGAGGAGGAGGACGAAAAUGAUCUCCUCCCCUCCGAAAUCCAAUGNCAGAGCUCCUUGCACAGCCCGGCGUAGUAAAGUCUACAUAAGUCAUCGCCGUUGCAUGUGCAGGCGUCCAGCCGCUGAAACCGGCGCCCCACCCUUGGUUGGGCCCAAGAAAAACAUUUCAGGUCGACCCCGAAUCAGGUAGGGAUACCCGCUGAACUUAAGCAUAUCAAUAAGCGGAGGAAAAGAAACCAACAGGGAUUGCCCCAGUAACUGCGAGUGAAGCGGCAAAAGCUCAAAUUUGAAAUCUGGCGCCUUUGGCGUCCGAGUUGUAAUUUGGAGAGACGUCUUCGGGGAUGGCAUACUGUCCUAAGUUCCUUGGAACAGGACGUCACAGAGGGUGAGAAUCCCGUGCCUGGAUGGUUGUCCAUCCCCAUUGUGAAGGGUCUUCGACGAGUCGAGUUGUUUGGGAAUGCAGCUCAAAAUGGGUGGUAAACGUCAUCUAAAGCUAAAUAUUGGCGAGAGACCGAUAGCGCACAAGUAGAGUGAUCGAAAGAUGAAAAGCACUUUGAAAAGAGAGUAAAAUAGUACGUGAAAUUGUUGAAAGGGAAGCGCUUGAGACCAGACACGGUCCGUGGUAAUCGCCCGCGCUUCGGUGCAGGUGCUCUUACCAUGACCGGUGCCAGCAUCGGUUCUGGCGGUGGGAUAAAAGGCAGGGGAAUGUAGCUUCCUCACUGGGAGUGUUAGAGCCCCUGUCACAAUGCCACCAGUCGGGACCGAGGACUGCGCUUCAGCUAGGAUGUUGGCGUAAUGGUCUUAAGCGACC
rnacentral:rRNA from 1 species